UACGUAGGGUGCGAGUGUUGUCCGGAUUUAUUGGGCGUAAAGAGCUCGUAGGCGGUUUGUCGCGUCGGCCGUGAAAUCUCCACGCUUAACGUGGAGCGUGCGGUCGAUACGGGCAGACUUGAGUUCGGUAGGGGAGACUGGAAUUCCUGGUGUAGCGGUGAAAUGCGCAGAUAUCAGGAGGAACACCGGUGGCGAAGGCGGGUCUCUGGGCCGAUACUGACGCUGAGGCGCGAAAGCCAGGGGAGCGAACGGG
rnacentral:rRNA from 1 species